CUAAGAAUAUUCCGCAAUGGACGAAAGUCUGACGGAGCGACGCCGCGUGGAUGAAGAAGGCCGAAAGGUUGUAAAGUCCUUUUGUUGGGGAAGAAUAAGCGCGGGAGGGAAUGCCCGCGUGAUGACAUGAACCGACGAAUAAGCCCCGGCUAACUACGUGCCAGCAGCCGCGGUAACACGUAGGGGGCGAGCGUUGUUCGGAAUUACUGGGCGUAAAGGGCAUGUAGGCGGCCUUGUAAGCCUGGCGUGAAAGUCACCGGCUUAACCGGUGGAUUGCGUCGGGAACUGCAGGGCUUGAGUCACGGAGAGGGAGCUAGAAUUCCUGGUGUAGGGGUGAAAUCUGUAGAGAUCAGGAAGAAUACCAAUGGCGAAGGCAAGCUCCUGGCCGAUGACUGACGCUGAGGUGCGAAAGUGUGGGGAUCAAACAGG
rnacentral:rRNA from 1 species